rnacentral:rRNA from 1 species
AAUGAACGCUGGCGGCGUGCCUAACACAUGCAAGUCGGAUGUGCCGCAAGGUGCAUGGCAGACGGGUGAGUAACGCGUAGGGAAUCUACCUUUUUGUGGGGAAUAACGCUCCGAAAGGAGUGGUAAUACCGCAUGAGACCGUGAGCUGGGAUGUUCACGGUGAAACCUGGGGACCGCAAGGCCUGGGGCAAAAAGAGGAUCCUGCGUCUGAUUAGCUAGUUGGCGGGGUAAUGGCCCACCAAGGCGACGAUCAGUAGCCGGCCUGAGAGGGUGAUCGGCCACACUGGAACUGAGACACGGUCCAGACUCCUACGGGAGGCAGCAGUGGGGAAUUUUGCGCAAUGGACGAAAGUCUGACGCAGCAACGCCGCGUGGGUGAUGAAGGUCUUCGGACUGUAAAACCCUGUCGUCAGGGACGAAGGUGGCAGUGUUAAUAGCGCUGUUACUUGACGGUACCUGGAGAGGAAGCCCCGGCUAACCCUGUG